rnacentral:misc_RNA from 1 species
CUCUGUAGGAGCUGCCGCAGGCUGCGAUCUUUUGAUCUUAUAAACAGCAAGAUCAAAAGAUCGAAGCCUGCGGCAGCUCCUACACAA